rnacentral:rRNA from 1 species
AUUGAACGCUGGCGGCAGGCCUAACACAUGCAAGUCGAACGAGUGGCGGACGGGUGAGUAAUGUCUGGGAAACUGCCCGAUGGAGGGGGAUAACUUAUGGAAACGGUAACUAAUACCGCAUACCAUAGGAUGUGCCCAGAUGUGAUGAGCUUGUAGGUUGGGUAACGGCUAACCUCGGCGACGAUGCCUAGCUGGUCUGAGAGGAUGAGCAGCAAGAUUGGAACGGAGCCAAGGGGCAGAAUCCUACGGGAGGAAGAAGUGGGGAAGAUUGGACAAUGGGCGCAAUCCUGAUGCAGCAAUGCCGCGGGUAUGAAGAAGGCCUUCGGGUUGUAAAGUACUUUCAGCGGGGAGGCGUUACCCGCAGAAGAAGCACCGGCUAACUCCGUGCCAGCCGCCGCGGUAAUAC